rnacentral:misc_RNA from 1 species
AUUACGUCUGGACUGUGUGAUUUGAAAUAAAAAACGUUUUAAUUUAUCAGUGAAAAAAUAACUCUUGGAUACACUCUAUUCCUUAGAGUACUGAGUAAUUCGUUGGCAUGUGAAAGUAAUCAAGUUACAGAGGAGAACGAAUUUAGGUUAAUUGGUCUUGGGCAGACCAGCGAAAGAUAUGGGAGGCAAGCACUAUUACUGCGAGUACUGCGACCGGUCCUUCAAAGACGAGGCUGGGGUGAGAAAAAAGCAUCUGGCAUCGAUCCAGCACGUGAAGAACAGAGAAAAUCACUACAGACAAUUCAGAGAUCCAAAGCAGAUUUUGCAAGAAGAACUCGCCAAGAAGCCGUGCAAGAGGUUCUUGAAUAAUGGGGAAUGUCACUUUGGUCACCUGUGCAAGUUCUCGCACUGCCCACCUUACUACAUUCAGCAGUUGCAAGCUGCAGUUGCAGCUAGCGAGCAAGCGAAACAUCAGAGGGUCUAUCCAGAACCAGAGUUCAUCGUCAAAGAAUUCUUCGAUUCAGCUUUAGAUCCUGAAGAGCUGGUCGAGGAAAACUUAAAUCCAUGGCCCCUUAGCGACGAGUACAAGGAGUUUGAAAACAGCCUGCCAAUUUCCAUGAGGCCCAUGACGCUGAAGGACUUUGACUCUGCGGACUUUGCCGAAUGGGGCAAACAGUGAAAAGCUCCUGGUGCUUCGAAGACCACCUUUGUGUUUUGCACUCGAGUCAUGCUUUUGUGCACUUCUACUUCAGCACUGCGGAGGUCAUCGUACAACACCCAUUUAUUACCUCGAAGACAU